GUGCCAGCCCCGUGCCCUACCGACGGCCCCGCUUCCUGCGCGGCUCCAGCUCCAGCCCCGGGGCGGCCGACGCCUCGCGCCGCCCAGACUCCCGGCCCGUGCGCAGCCCCGCACGAGGACGCACGCUACCCUGGAAUGCAGGCUACGCCGAGAUUAUCAAUGCAGAGAAAUCUGAAUUCAAUGAGGAUCAAGCCGCCUGUGGGAAGCUGUGCAUCCGGAGAUGUGAGUUUGGGGCUGAAGAAGAGUGGCUGACCCUGUGCCCAGAGGAGUUCCUGACAGGCCAUUACUGGGCACUGUUCGAUGGGCACGGCGGUCCUGCAGCAGCCAUCUUGGCUGCCAACACCCUGCACUCCUGCUUGCGCCGGCAGCUGGAGGCCGUGGUGGAAGGCUUGGUGGCCACUCAGCCCCCCAUGCACCUCAAUGGCCGCUGCAUCUGCCCCAGUGACCCUCAGUUUGUGGAGGAAAAGGGCAUCAGGGCAGAAGACUUGGUGAUCGGGGCAUUGGAGAGUGCCUUUCAGGAAUGUGAUGAGGUGAUCGGGCGGGAGCUGGAGGCCUCAGGCCAGAUGGGCGGCUGCACAGCCCUGGUGGCUGUGUCCCUGCAGGGAAAGCUGUACAUGGCCAAUGCUGGGGAUAGCAGGGCCAUCUUGGUGCGGAGAGAUGAGAUACGGCCACUGAGCUUCGAGUUCACCCCAGAGACUGAGCGGCAGCGGAUCCAGCAGCUGGUAGGUGCCCUUGGCAGCAUGGAGGCUGUGAAGCUCCAACUCCUGGGUCCAGGGCCAUAAGAAGGAGUAUGACCUGAGCGCAGCCUCCCCACCCCAGGCCUUUGUCUAUCCUGAGCUUCUGGCUGGUGAGUUCACCCGACUGGAGUUCCCUCGGCGGCUGAAGGGGGAUGACUUGGGACAGAAGGUUUUGUUCAGGGAUCACCACAUGAGUGGCUGGCUCGGUUACUAGGAACACUGGCUGUCUCCCGGGGCCUGGGAGACCAUCAGCUCAGAGUCCUGGACACAAACAUCCAGCUCAAGCCCUUCUUGCUCUCUGUCCCACAGGUGACUGUGCUGGAUGUGGACCAGCUGGAGCUACAGGAGGAUGAUGUGGUUGUCAUGGCAACUGAUGGACUCUGGGAUGUACUGUCCAACGAGCAGGUGGCAUGGCUGGUGCGGAGCUUCCUCCCUGGGAACCAAGAGGACCCACACAGGUUCUCAAAGCUGGCCCAGAUGCUGAUACACAGCACACAGGGAAAGGAAGACAGUCUCACAGAGGAAGGGCAGGUGUCCUACGAUGACGUCUCUGUGUUCGUGAUUCCCUUGCACAGUCAGGGCCAAGAGAGCAGUGACCACUGAGGAUUCAGACACUGUAUCCCAGAACUGCUCUAGUGCCCGGGUGUGGUCUGGGCAUCCCUCCAGUGUGACCAAGAGCAAAUCCUGCCUGCCCUAUCCCUAGCCACCGCCCAGUGCUCUCACUAUCCACCUCAACACACAUCCAUCUCAAGAGGAACAUUUAUACCAGGCAGUCAGAGCUGGAAGUGUAUGGAGAGCCCAGCCCACCAGGUCCUGCCUUUUGCAGUGAUAACCUUCUCUGGCAGAGUGACUUUACAACUUAACUAGGAAACCCAUGUGAGGCUCCUCAGACAGGAUCUUCAACAGCCCAAAGUAUCAUUCUCAGAUAGGGGCACCCAGGCUAAGGGUAUUAGCCAAAGAUGCCAGGAUGGGCAGCUAGCCCAUGUUUAGAUCCAGGUCUCCAAUUCAUGGUUAUCAGGGCAUGUGUUCAACAACCCCCAAAGUCCACGCAGGUGGCUUGUAGAAACCUUUGGGCAGCCUCAUGUCUGCUAAAACAGCCAUCUUCAAGACAGCCCCUGAAAAGAGACCAGUUCAGGUCCUGCCCUGCUGUUCUUUGCUGGAGAUGAGGAACAGGUGCUGGGGCUAAAGUUUGGGGUAGAGCACAAGGGACAAGAGGAACUCUUGGAGUUGGCUGGGUGAGAGGGCUCUCCAUUUGCUACCUGUAGUAGCCUGCCUCCUAACUGGUUGCUUCUCCCUAGUUCCAGCCCUGCCCUGGUCUGAUGCCCCAACACUGCCCUUGCUUUGUUUUCCCUGUCACCUCCCUAUUAUUAAAUGUUUUCUACAG
rnacentral:sRNA from 1 species